UACAGGGGGUGCAAACGUUGCUCGGAAUCAUUGGGCGUAAAGCGCACGUAGGCGGUUCGUUAUGUCGGAUGUGAAAGCCCUUGGCUUAACCGAGGAAGUGCAUCCGAAACUGGCGAGCUAGAGUACGAAAGAGGAUCGCGGAAUUCCCGGUGUAGAGGUGAAAUUCGUAGAUAUCGGGAGGAACACCCGUGGCGAAGGCGGCACUCUGGGACGGUACUGACGCUGAGACGCGAAAGCGUGGGGAGCGAACAGG
rnacentral:rRNA from 1 species